AAGGUUCUGAGUGUGUAUGAAGUCAUCUACAAGGAGAUGGCAUCAUUGCCUGUCCCUGAUGCUUUUGCUCAGAUGAAGAAGAUCAAGGAUCAGCGAAACCCUAAUGCACCUAAUUUGCUUGUUCAUAACAGCCCGUCUGAAGGUAAAGAAACCGGUGCUCAAGAGCAGCAAGAGUCUGUCAAUAUGAAUGGGACUGCACAACUUCCAACUUUAGGAAGUUUGGUCCCAACACAGUGUGUAUCUACGACACCAUCGAGGUCAAAGCGUUCAAGUAUGAUUGAACCCCAAAAAGUCUCAACCAAUCCAACACCAAAACCAUCUCUCCAUAGAACCGCAGGUCCUGUCAAACCAUUAUUCACAUGCCAGGAUGUAUCUACACCUCAGAGUCUAGUGGAUUCUCGUGUUUCAUCUAGAAUACCUUUUCUAGAAAGCUACCCAGCUCCAGUCCUCAGCCAACACAUAAAUCAGCAUCAACCAAUCCCAGGCAGAAGCCUUCAAAGAUAUAUAAUGCCAUCUGAAAACCAGUGUUUUACUGAAGCAAGGACAAUCUCUAUUGUAAGACCACCAAGACAGUGUAUCCCCAUCAGAAUUCUUUGCCAGAAUGACAUUGUGCGUGCUGGUGAAGAUGAUGGGAACAAUUCUGUCCAGUCAUUUGGAGUCAGCUAUGAAUCACAUCCAAUGCACCUGGCCCAAACCACUCCAUAUGAAAUCCAGCUGCAAACACCAUCUCUUUCAGUGAGCCACAUGGUACCAGAGUUAACCCAGGAUCUAACAAACAGGCAUGGAUUUUUCAGGAUUGAAAGGUCACCUGAUAGUCCAGAGCCUGUUAGAGAUGUGGAGAUCGUUAUCAAGCAGAUCAGAACCCAAAUGCUAACAGAAACACCGGAACAGGCUACAAUGUAUGAUUUAAGUCCGUUCCAUGAUGAGUCUAAUUUACAAGAACCAAUCAACACCGGCUGGG
rnacentral:lncRNA from 1 species